rnacentral:rRNA from 1 species
GCGAGUGAGCGGCAAAAGCUCAAAUUUGAAAUCUGGCUCUUUCAGAGUCCGAGUUGUAAUUUGAAGAAGGUAUCUUUGGGUCUGGCUCUUGUCUAUGUUUCUUGGAACAGAACGUCACAGAGGGUGAGAAUCCCGUGCGAUGAGAUGAUCCAGGCCUAUGUAAAGUUCCUUCGAAGAGUCGAGUUGUUUGGGAAUGCAGCUCUAAGUGGGUGGUAAAUUCCAUCUAAAGCUAAAUAUUGGCGAGAGACCGAUAGCGAACAAGUACAGUGAUGGAAAGAUGAAAAGAACUUUGAAAAGAGAGUGAAAAAGUACGUGAAAUUGUUGAAAGGGAAGGGCUUGAGAUCAGACUUGGUAUUUUGUAUGUUACUUCUUCGGGGGUGGCCUCUACAGUUUAUCGGGCCAGCAUCAGUUUGGGCGGUAGGAGAAUUGCGUUGGAAUGUGGCACGGCUUCGGUUGUGUGUUAUAGCCUUCGUCGAUACUGCCAGCCUAGACUGAGGACUGCGG